rnacentral:rRNA from 1 species
UACGUAGGUGGCAAGCGUUGUUCGGAAUUAUUGGGCGUAAAGGGCGCGUAGGCGGCCACCGCAAGUCGACUGUGAAAUCUCCGGGCUUAACCCGGAAAGGUCAGCCGAUACUGCGGGGCUAGAGUGCAGAAGGGGCAACUGGAAUUCUCGGUGUAGCGGUGAAAUGCGUAGAUAUCGAGAGGAACACCUGCGGCGAAAGCGGCUCACUGGACCACAACUGACGCUGAGGCGCGAAAGCUAGGGGAGCAAACAGG